rnacentral:rRNA from 1 species
GAUGAACGCUGGCGGCGUGCCUAACACAUGCAAGUCGAGCGAGAAGUAAAGAAAUGAAGCUUCGGUAGAUUUUCAUUAUGGAAAGCGGCGGACGGGUGAGUAACGCGUAGGCAACCUGCCCUGUACAGGGGGAUAGCCACCCGAAAAGGUGAUUAAUACCCCAUGAUGCAAGAGAUACACAUGUAUCACUUGUCAAAGAUUUAUCGGUAUGGGAUGGGCCUGCGUCUGAUUAGCUAGUUGGUAGGGUAACGGCUUACCAAGGCAACGAUCAGUAGCCGACCUGAGAGGGUGAUCGGCCACAUUGGAACUGAGACACGGUCCAAACUCCUACGGGAGGCAGCAGUGGGGAAUAUUGCACAAUGGGGGAAACCCUGAUGCAGCAACGCCGCGUGAAGGAAGAAGGCCUUCGGGUUGUAAACUUCUGUCCUAGGGGAAGAAACAAAUGACAUUACCCUUGGAGGAAGCCCCGUUAACUAAC